AUAUAUCUCCUAUGACCAAAGUUUGUCUAUAUUUUAUUUCUUAUUUCAUUCAGUCAUUUAUUUCUCAUCUAUAAUCUUGUUGUGUUUAAGGUCAUGGCUGGUCGUAUAAGCAUUUCACUGGAUGACUUUGAUGUGCGCGCGCGCGUCUCAUUCCAACACUGGAGAGGAGGGGAUGUUGCUAUGGGAAACGAAGCUACAACACGACACGACACCACCUGAAAGACACAACACGACUUCUCUCAAGCUGCCGUUUUGACAGUUUUCAGGAGUGAGAGAAUAACCCCCUGCUACAGAAAACAUAACACAAGAUUCCUAAAUUUCUGAAGGGAGCUGAUCACGAUGCAGGAAAGACAGGAGGUCAAAGUUUAACCUAAGUGCCGUGUAGCUGAUGAACAUCUUUAUAUGUAAGUAUAUUUUUAUAUGUAAGUAUAUUUUUGACGGACUGCCAGACACUUGUCAAACAGUGAUGAGCAACGAGGGGCCGUUCUUUUAAAAAGAUCAGGGAGAUGCAAGUCUAGAGAUUAAUAUACGUUUUAUUUCAAAAUUGAUUUAUCUGGAAAAAUUUAAUAAUGUUUUGAGAUGUGCCCUAUAUGCAUUUAGAUGUACAUCCAUGUUUAAAAUACUUUUAAAUUUAACAACGGCUGUAAGUUAUAAAAAUGUUAAAGUAAAUUGAGAAAACAUUUUCAUCAGUUUGACAACAUACACAAUCUCACAAAUAGCAUAGAAAAAGUGACAAAGCUGUCUUCUUUGUCUGUGUUUUAUUACUCUCUUUCGCACUCUCGGCCACUGUAUGUAACAGUAAUUAGUAUAAUGUAACAGUAGACAGAUGAGGAAUGUGAAUAUGUAGUUUAACUUUAAGGAGCCUUACUACUAGAACCAUUUUUUAU